rnacentral:pre_miRNA from 1 species
CUGUGUGCGUAAGUGCCUGCAUGUAUAUGCGUGUAUAUUUUAUGCAUAUACAUACACACACCUACACACACAU